rnacentral:lncRNA from 1 species
CUGAGUCAUGAUCAGAGACAAGUCACGAUUUUGGAAAUUUUGAAACUCCGCACUUUCUAAUUAAGCGAUUUCUCCCCUCCCCGGAUUCCUGGAACGAAAAGAAUGGAGAAUAGCCGACCGUCGUCCGAUCUUUUCUUCGCGCCCUUCUAAGCUUCCAUUACAUGUGUACGCAUUGCUCCUGCGUUCCCGGCAUGGCUUUUUCCUACAUAUCUCGCAGGAAUUCAACUUGUCUCUUUCUCGAGCAGUAGAAUGAGCGCAACCCAGCCCAAGCUUGAAGAUCUUUGCCGUUUUUGCGCCAAAUUCUCUGAUACAGCGAUGCCCAUUUUCAAUGCUGACAGUAAUGAAGAAAUUUUGGAAAUGAUUAGAAGAUUAGUUCCUUUUGAAAUAAAUUCUUGUGAUGGAUUACCUCAAAAAAGUUGUGAAACAUGUCUAGUGCACCUAAAAUCAUGCAAGCAGUUUUUAGACGAUUGCAUUCAAGCAAACGAGAAACUCAGAAACUUCAGCUUUCUGCUGUCUGAUGAAGGCUGUAAUUCUGAUGAGGUGAGCACUGAGCACCCACCAAUCCUAUUUAAUUGCAUUCAAUGAUAUUUUCUUAUUUUCUUUAUACAUAUUUUGUCAAGUUCCAAGAAGAAUCUAAAUAUGCUCGUGAUAAUCAGCCUCUCUACUGAAAAACACAUUUCCAUGUUUAGAUCUUCCUAGAUUAUGGGAACACCAUUGCAGAAAUCUGACAAGAGCUCAUUGUUCUAACCUUGGUUUUUCCUGCUGUUAGGUGUCAGAUUAGGCGACGUAAAUAGCAAUAUGUGUCAGAAAGGUUUGCAGUUGUUUACUUUCCGUUUGCAAGUGACUGCCAUAAAGUUGUCUUAUAGUCUUCGAGGAUUAACUGUGGGCAAUGUCAUCGCUGUGCGUAAAAAUGGAAAUUGGUCUACUGUGGAAGAUAAUUGAAAGUAAACAACUGCCAAUUUAUCAGGCCGGAAUUCCAGGGUUGCCAGUCAGAGAAUUUUAAAUAUAUAGGGAAAACUUAGAACUGUUCUGGAAAAUGACAAAAGUGUUGGGGAAAAAUCGUUAAGUCGCCUUAAUACAUUCUAGAAAGGGGUUUGACGUUUCGAACAAUAAAGUUUGCCUACAAACUAUUUUCAAUUAUGUCUUUUUAACCAUCUGGCAUAUCUUCAAUCGCCUGGGAAUUUCACUAAUAUGUGUCAGGGAAUCUCAUUUUCUAAAUUCUGUGGCAAUUCAGUAGUUUUAGAAAAAUUACUAUUUUGCACACUUUAACCAUUCAAAAGUUUUCCAAAAAACUAGGCUCACUAACUGCUCUGCACUAUCAAUCCUUUGAAAAAAAGCAAUGUUUUUUUCUUUUCUGGAAAUGUAUUAUUCUUUAUUUCGUCAGAAGUGAAUUCUGGACUGAAAUGAACGAUGCAAUUGCUUUUGUGUUGCAUCUAACAAUUAAAAUAUCUGAUUUUAUCUCAAAAAGAACUAAUGAUUUCAUCAAUCAGUCAAGUUAUAUAUGUGGCCAUCUGUGAGAAGGAGGCAAAGUACAUUCUACAUUUUUGGCAACUGGGUCAACAAUUUUGUUUGUAGUUUCCGAUGGAAUGGUUUUCCUCCAAGUUGCAAGUAAUUUAGUUCACUUUUUUUUUUUUGAAGGAAGGAGGGUGGAAAGCGCAUUUUUGUCUCUAAAAGUUAGAGCCCAAGAAUAACUGUUUCAAUCGUUAGUUUUAAAUGGUUCUAAUCCUCAAACUGUGUUUUUUAAACUACUCAAAAGCUAAAAUCAAGUCCAUGCUUAGUAAUUGUACGCACCCUCAGAGUGGGACAGAGGAUUAGCAUUCCUCAGUUUAGCAUUGGAAGUAGGUGCAAGAAUCAAGAGGGUGGAUUUUCUGUUGCACUCUAUAAGUGGGUAAAUUUAGUUGAUGUAGACUCUAACUUUGAGGUGGAGCACAAUUUUUGGAAUUUUGGGCAUUUUUCUGUCCCAAAUAGUGGCAAAAUAGUCCUUUAUGCUCUAGUACCAUUAUCUUUAACUUUAUAUUGCGUUUUUCUGGUUUAUGGCCCUUUUUCCUUUAGAUGGUCGUUCAUAGAUAAGGAAAAAAUCUGGGAACUUAAAAACAUUAUGAGUAGCGAUCUGUCUGCUCUUUAAACUUUUUUAGCAGUAUUCACACAUUAAGUAUUUUGCUUAUUGAAGAUAGUUUCCUCCAAAUUUUUUCUCUCUACUCAAGGCAAGAAAAGCUUAUCAGAAAUCUCUCAACAACAAUUUAAAAAUGAUUUUUCAAUUAUUUCGUAAAAUUUUUUAGCCAACUCUCUGGAUAAUUUGGCCUUGGAGCAGCAGGAGAAUCCCCAAAAUCUGUAGCUGUUUCAGCAGAAGAAGCACACUUUAAAAUGAAGCAAGAUCAGAAGAGUUGAUCAAAGUACAUCAAAAUAGUGGAGAUGAAACAGUCCAUCAUGAUUCUGACUCGCAACUUCAUUCGGCCCUAGAAGCUCAACCCUCAGCUGCAUCUCUUCUGUGUGACAUUUGUGGCAAAGUUUUUGAGCGGGCCAACAAUCUUAGGGUCCACAAAGCAACACAUCUUGAAGAUGCCUUGAAGAAAAAGCAUGUUUGUUCUACAUGCGGAAAACGUUUCUUCUCUAGGUAUGUGUCUAUCAGAGUAUUUGCACCUAAGUUUUGCAGGGUGCAGAAUGUUCCCGAACCAGCGACCGAUCGGUUGCUCGACCUAUGUGUAGGCUGUGGAAAAUUGUGUAGGCUUUUUUUUUUUUUUUGUUAAUAAAAUUUAUUACGUUAAUUCUGGAGAAAGUUAUUGUAAAGUAUUGAAUUUUGAGAAAAUGACUGCGGAAACAUCGAAUUUGAGGAAAAAUAUUGCGACCGCAUUGUAUUUUAAAAAAAUUACUGCGACCGCGUAAUGUAAUAGUGGGUAGGCUAAAUCCCUGGUUCCUCAAAAUUGUGUAGGCCGAGGUCCUUUCUGCACUCCUAAAGUUUUGCAGUCUAAACAUGUUUUAGUCAAUAAAUGAAUGAAUGAAUAAUAAUUUAAAAAAAUAAAAAAAUAGAUUUUUGCAAGAACAAUAUUGUAGCUUGUUUCAUAUUUUAGGGAGAAAAAAAAUUUCAUUGCUGUCAGUUGAAAUGCACCAAAGUCGUGCAAUUUUUAAGGCUUUCAAUGUGAAAGACGCAUUUCCUUUGUCGAACUUCUGCUCGGAUUCGCUAAGCAAGUUGAACUUGAAAAGUCCCGAAGUUUAAAGCCACCUCAUUUUUGGGAACUCUCAAAUUCCUUUAUCUUUUUUGUUAUGUGUCAUAGUAAAUAAAUAAUUGUAUAGAGCAAUUUGAACUCCAGUGUAGGUGUUUUUAUCUUGUGAAAUUGAAGGAACAUCUCAGAAUUUCACAGAUCCGAAGUUACUGACGCUUAUAAACAACUUCCGCGCAUUGACAUAAAAAUCGCCGUCUAUCCGCGAGGUGAAAAUUGAGGUGAAAAUUGUAGCUUUUUCUGAUCAGAAUUUUCCUCUCAAAAAUUCAAGGUUGCAGUGCAGUAUUGAAGUAGUGUGCAGUCCUGUCAGUGAUGGGUUUUUUCCAGUUGCAAGAAGGCAACUAUGACCAACACUGAGAUCAUGUCUGCGACGUUUCUAUUUUAUGCCCAUCUCUUAGCUCUACAUCUUGCUGGUCACUUCCAACCGUUAAUUUAUCAGUUUACUACUGCUCAACUCCAAGCUUUGAUACAUACAGUAUGUUUAGCUCAAGAGGCUGGAGAGAAUCACGAACAGUGUAACGUCAAGAAAAGGAGUAUGAUGUUGGCCAGGGCAAUUAACUUGCUUAAUUUUACAUCCUUGCCUCUGCCUGGUAUUAAAU